CUCGCUGUUCCUUUUUCCUAUGCAUAUACCUCUUUGAAAAAUGAAUGUAAAGGGGCAUAGGGCAUGGGAAAAUGGCGCAGCUGAGCC
rnacentral:pre_miRNA from 17 species